rnacentral:rRNA from 1 species
ACGGAAGGCAGCAGUGGGGAAUAUUGGACAAUGGGGGAAACCCUGAUCCAGCGACGCCGCGUGAGUGGAGAAGUAUUUCGGUAUGUAAAGCUCUAUCAGCAAGGAAGAAAAUGACGGUACUUGACUAAGAAGCCCCGGCUAACUACGUGCCAGCAGCCGCGGUAAUACGUAGGGGGCAAGCGUUAUCCGGAUUUACUGGGUGUAAAGGGAGCGUAGACGGUAUGGCAAGUCUGAAGUGAAAUGCAUGGGCUCAACCCAUGAACUGCUUUGGAAACUGUCAAACUAGAGUGCAGGAGAGGUAAGUGGAAUUCCUAGUGUAGCGGUGAAAUGCGUAGAUAUUAGGAGGAACACCGGUGGCGAAGGCGGCUUUCUGGACUGUAACUGACGCUGAGGCACGAAAGCGUGGGGAGCAAACAGGAUUAGAUACCCUGGUA